GAAAUGCGAUAAGUAGUGUGAAUUACAGAAUUCAGUGAAUCAUCGAAUCUUUGAACGCACAUUGCGCCCUUUGGUAUUCCUUAGGGCAUGCCUGUUCGAGCGUCAUCUAAACCUUCAAGCCCUGCUUGGUGUUGGGUGCCUGUCCCGCCUCCGCGCGCGGACUCACCUCAAAUCCAUUGGCGGCCCCCGCGUCGGCCACGAGCGCAGCAGAAACGCGAACUCGUGAGCCCGUCCGGGCGGCUCCCAGAAGCUACACCCACCCAGUUUGACCUCGGAUCAGGUAGGGAUACCCGCUGAACUUAAG
rnacentral:misc_RNA from 1 species